AUUGAACGCUGGCGGCAGGCCUAACACAUGCAAGUCGAGCGGUAGCACAGAGAGCUUGCUCUCGGGUGACGAGCGGCGGACGGGUGAGUAAUGUCUGGGAAACUGCCUGAUGGAGGGGGAUAACUACUGGAAACGGUAGCUAAUACCGCAUAACGUCGCGAGACCAAAGUGGGGGACCUUCGGGCCUCAUGCCAUCAGAUGUGCCCAGAUGGGAUUAGCUGGUAGGUGGGGUAACGGCUCACCUAGGCGACGAUCCCUAGCUGGUCUGAGAGGAUGACCAGCCACACUGGAACUGAGACACGGUCCAGACUCCUACGGGAGGCAGCAGUGGGGAAUAUUGCACAAUGGGCGCAAGCCUGAUGCAGCCAUGCCGCGUGUGUGAAGAAGGCCUUCGGGUUGUAAAGCACUUUCAGCGGGGAGGAAGGCGAUGAGGUUAAUAACCUCAUCGAUUGACGUUACCCGCGGAAGAAGCACCGGCUAACUCCGUGCCAGCCGCCGCCGUAA
rnacentral:rRNA from 1 species